AGGAUAAGAGGCACCCAGGCUAGCCAAGGAGACUGCCUGUGAUAAAUCGAGAUCACAUGCAUAUAUGAAAUUAUGCAAGCGAUCAAGGGAGGACAUGCACAGGCAAGUCAUCCUUGGCUAUCAGGGCCAAACCCCUUAUCA
rfam:Brachypodium distachyon strain Bd21 chromosome 3, whole genome shotgun sequence.